rnacentral:tRNA from 1 species
GGGUCCGUAGCUCAAUGGCAGAGCAGCUCCCUCUUAAGGAGACGGUUGUGAGUUCGACUCUCACCGGGCCCACCA